rnacentral:rRNA from 1 species
UACGUAGGGGGCUAGCGUUGUCCGGAUUUAUUGGGCGUAAAGAGCGUGUAGGCGGCCAUGUAGGUCCGGUGUGAAAACUCGAGGCUUAACCUCGAGAUGUCAUCGGAAACCAUUUGGCUAGAGUCCGGAAGAGGAGAGUGGAAUUCCUGGUGUAGCGGUGAAAUGCGCAGAUAUCUGGAGGAACACCGGUGGCGAAGGCGGCAUCCUGGACCGGGUAUUGACGCUGAUGCGCGAAAGCCAGGGGAGCAAACGGG